AUCAGCCUUCACCCUACAGCGGUCUAGCAGAGAGGCAAAGCUAUGCUACUAUGCCAGCGAGACAGAGGAAAGUGGAGUGUGGCCCAGGCUGGCCUCAAACCCACGGUGAUCCUCCCACCUCAGCCUCCAGAAUGCUGGUUAUGGGUGUGUGCCACUACACCCAGUGAGAUUUCUUCAUAGAAGAACACUGCUGGCCUUGAACUCAUUAUGUAGCCCACAUGGCCUCAAACUCAUGGAAAUCCUGCUGCCUCAGCCUUCCGAGUGCUGAUAGUACAGUGCUGGAGGCUGGAAGUUCAAGAUCAAGGUGCAAGUAGGACCAGGUUCCUCUGAGUCCUGGCUUCUUGGGUUGCAGGUGGUCACCUUCCUGCUGCCUGUAUUGGAUCAGACCAGGACCUUGUGCGCUUGUGAGGCAGGAGAUGGAACCACUGAGCCAAAUCCCC
rnacentral:lncRNA from 1 species